GAUGAACGCUGGCGGCGUGCCUAAUACAUGCAAGUCGAGCGAACAGACGAGGAGCUUGCUCCUCUGAUGUUAGCGGCGGACGGGUGAGUAACACGUGGAUAACCUACCUAUAAGACUGGGAUAACUUCGGGAAACCGGAGCUAAUACCGGAUAACAUGUUGAACCGCAUGGUUCAACAGUGAAAGACGGUCUUGCUGUCACUUAUAGAUGGAUCCGCGCCGCAUUAGCUAGUUGGCAAGGUAACGGCUUAGCAAGGCAACGAUGCGUAGCCGACCUGAGAGGGUGAUCGGCCACACUGGAACUGAGACACGGUCCAGACUCCUACGGGAGGCAGCAGUAGGGAAUCUUCCGCAAUGGGCGAAAGCCUGACGGAGCAACGCCGCGUGAGUGAAGAAGGUCUUCGGAUCGUAAAACUCUGUUAUUAGGGAAGAACAAAUGUGUAAGUAACUAUGCACGUCUUGACGGUACCUAAUCAGAAAGCCACGGCUAACUACGUG
rnacentral:rRNA from 1 species